rnacentral:rRNA from 1 species
GGCGCCGUUAGAAUGGUGACUGCAGGACACAUGAACACCGACAAGUUGAACGCAUAUUGCACAUCGUACAACAGUACGAUGUACACAUUUUUGAGUGCCUAUAUUUAUAGAUUGAACCAUAUUCGCGCCACAAGCGCGCCAGAUAUACAUAGUGAGGGUUUACCCCGGGCUUAUGUGCCGGGUAAGCGUUUAAAACUGCCAACCCUGUGCCUCACACUACUACUUCGGUGUGUCAUACUCGAGUGGUAGUGGUACAUCCUCCUACACUCCAUCUCGGCUUGGAUGCGAUGCUAUGUGGCCCCAGUGCGCACUCCGUAGGGUUGCUCUCAAAGUGAACUGUGAUAUUACAACAGUACGCCUCAAAUAGUGUGUGACCACCCCUAA